rnacentral:rRNA from 1 species
GGUUAAGCGACUAAGCGUACACGGUGGAUGCCCUGGCAGUCAGAGGCGAUGAAGGACGUGCUAAUCUGCGAAAAGCGCCGGCGAGGUGAUAUGAACCUUUGACCCGGCGAUGUCCGAAUGGGGAAACCCAGUGCAAUUCGUUGCACUAUCGUUAACUGAAUACAUAGGUUAACGAGGCGAACCGGGGGAACUGAAACAUCUAAGUACCCCGAGGAAAAGAAAUCAACCGAGAUUCCCCCAGUAGCGGCGAGCGAACGGGGAGCAGCCCGGAGUCUGAAUCAGCUUGUGUGUUAGUGGAACGGUCUGGAAAGUCCGACGGUACAGGGUGAUAGUCCCGUACACGAAAGCACACAUGCUGUGAACUCGAAGAGUAGGGCGGGACACGUGGUAUCCUGUCUGAAUAUGGGGGGACCAUCCUCCAAGGCUAAAUACUCCUGACUGACCGAUAGUGAACCAGUACCGUGAGGGAAAGGCGAAAAGAACCCCGGCGAGGGGAGUGAAAAAGAACCUGAAACCGUGUACGUACAAGCAGUGGGAGCCUCUUUAUGGGGUGACUGCGUACCUUUUGUAUAAUGGGUCAGCGACUUAUAUUCUGUAGCAAGGUUAACCGUAUAGGGGAGCCGAAGGGAAACCGAGUCUUAACUGGGCGUUAAGUUGCAGGGUAUAGACCCGAAACCCGGUGAUCUAGCCAUGGGCAGGUUGAAGGUUGGGUAACACUAACUGGAGGACCGAACCGACUAAUGUUGAAAAAUUAGCGGAUGACCUGUGGCUGGGGGUGAAAGGCCAAUCAAACCGGGAGAUAGCUGGUUCUCCCCGAAAGCUAUUUAGGUAGCGCCUCGUGAACUCAUCUUCGGGGGUAGAGCACUGUUUCGGCUAGGGGGCCAUCCCGGCUUACCAACCCGAUGCAAACUACGAAUACCGAAGAAUGUUAUCACGGGAGACACACGGCGGGUGCUAACGUCCGUCGUGAAGAGGGAAACAACCCAGACCGCCAGCUAAGGUCCCAAAGUCAUGGUUAAGUGGGAAACGAUGUGGGAAGGCACAGACAGCCAGGAUGUUGGCUUAGAAGCAGCCAUCAUUUAAAGAAAGCGUAAUAGCUCACUGGUCGAGUCGGCCUGCGCGGAAGAUGUAACGGGGCUAAACCAUGCACCGAAGCUGCGGCAGCGACGCUUAUGCGUUGUUGGGUAGGGGAGCGUUCUGUAAGCCGUUGAAGGUGUCCUGUGAGGGGUGCUGGAGGUAUCAGAAGUGCGAAUGCUGACAUAAGUAACGAUAAAGCGGGUGAAAAGCCCGCUCGCCGGAAGACCAAGGGUUCCUGUCCAACGUUAAUCGGGGCAGGGUGAGUCGACCCCUAAGGCGAGGCCGAAAGGCGUAGUCGAUGGGAAACAGGUUAAUAUUCCUGUACUUGGUGUUACUGCGAAGGGGGGACGGAGAAGGCUAUGUCAGCCGGGCGACGGUUGUCCCGGUUUAAGCAUGUAGGCGGAGGUUCCAGGUAAAUCCGGUACCUUAUUAACGCUGAGGUGUGAUGACGAGGCACUACGGUGCUGAAGUGAUAAAUGCCCUGCUUCCAGGAAAAGCCUCUAAGCAUCAGGUAACACGAAAUCGUACCCCAAACCGACACAGGUGGUCAGGUAGAGAAUACCAAGGCGCUUGAGAGAACUCGGGUGAAGGAACUAGGCAAAAUGGUGCCGUAACUUCGGGAGAAGGCACGCUGAUAUGUAGGUGAAGUCCCUGCGGACGGAGCUGAAAUCAGUCGAAGAUACCAGCUGGCUGCAACUGUUUAUUAAAAACACAGCACUGUGCAAACACGAAAGUGGACGUAUACGGUGUGACGCCUGCCCGGUGCCGGAAGGUUAAUUGAUGGGGUUAGCGGCAACGCGAAGCUCUUGAUCGAAGCCCCGGUAAACGGCGGCCGUAACUAUAACGGUCCUAAGGUAGCGAAAUUCCUUGUCGGGUAAGUUCCGACCUGCACGAAUGGCGUAAUGAUGGCCAGGCUGUCUCCACCCGAGACUCAGUGAAAUUGAACUCGCUGUGAAGAUGCAGUGUACCCGCGGCAAGACGGAAAGACCCCGUGAACCUUUACUAUAGCUUGACACUGAACACUGGUCCUUGAUGUGUAGGAUAGGUGGGAGGCUUUGAAGCGUGGACGCCAGUCUGCGUGGAGCCAACCUUGAAAUACCACCCUUUAAUGGCUGGUGUUCUAACGUAGACCCGUAAUCCGGGUUGCGGACAGUGUCUGGUGGGUAGUUUGACUGGGGCGGUCUCCUCCCAAAGAGUAACGGAGGAGCACGAAGGUUGGCUAAUCCUGGUCGGACAUCAGGAGGUUAGUGCAAUGGCAUAAGCCAGCUUGACUGCGAGCGUGACGGCGCGAGCAGGUGCGAAAGCAGGUCAUAGUGAUCCGGUGGUUCUGAAUGGAAGGGCCAUCGCUCAACGGAUAAAAGGUACUCCGGGGAUAACAGGCUGAUACCGCCCAAGAGUUCAUAUCGACGGCGGUGUUUGGCACCUCGAUGUCGGCUCAUCACAUCCUGGGGCUGAAGUAGGUCCCAAGGGUAUGGCUGUUCGCCAUUUAAAGUGGUACGCGAGCUGGGUUUAGAACGUCGUGAGACAGUUCGGUCCCUAUCUGCCGUGGGCGCUGGAGAAUUGAGGGGGGCUGCUCCUAGUACGAGAGGACCGGAGUGGACGCAUCACUGGUGUUCGGGUUGUCAUGCCAAUGGCACUGCCCGGUAGCUAAAUGCGGAAAAGAUAAGUGCUGAAAGCAUCUAAGCACGAAACUUGCCCCGAGAUGAGUUCUCCCUGAGACUUUAAGUCUCCUGAAGGAACGUUGAAGACGACGACGUUGAUAGGUCGGGUGUGUAAGCGCAGCGAUGCGUUGAGCUAACCGAUACUAAUGAACCGUGAGGCUUAACCUU